UAUCAUCUAAGGGAGUAUGAGAAACAUCGCAUUUGGAUGAUAGCAUGAGGACACGGGAGAGCAUAUGUGCUAACAUAUGAUCAUUUGACAUUAAGGGACACUUUUGAGCCCACUUGAUAUUUAGGGUCACUUUUGGGCCAUCUUGUAAUAAGUAUCUCAUGACUAUAAAUAAUUAAGUUUUUCUUCAUUUUUAAAUAGUUGUUGAAUGAUAAUGCGUGAUACACUUGCGAGUGUCUUUAAGCUUGUUGGGAG
rnacentral:lncRNA from 1 species